GCACAGGAUGAGCCAAUAAACUCUGCGUCUCACACCAGUCUGAAGUAUUUGACAAACCCGGCUGAAUGCUCUUGAUGAAAAGAUGGCAAAACCAAAAAAUAUCAAAAGCUGUAAAAAAUUGGAGCAACUUUUGAAUGAAUAUGCAGAACAAAUACAGGAGCUGUGUCGUCUUAACGACAUAUGCCCAAAA